GUUGUGAUGGGAGGACUAGGGUAUGGAGAAUACCAUGAGUACAUGUAUCCAUCAUGUUGUGAUGGGAGGACUAGGGUAUGGAGAAUACCAUGAGUACAUGUAUCCAUCAUGUUGUGAUGGGAGGACUAGGGUAUGGAGAAUACCAUGAGUACAUGUAUCCAUCAUGUUGUGAUGGGAGGACUAGGGUAUGGAGGAUACCAUGAGUACAUGUAUCCAUCAUGUUGUGAUGGAGCACUAGGGUAUGGAGGAUACCAUGAGUACAUGUAUCCAUCAUGUCGCGUGCCAACAUUGCAGCUUGUUGGUAUGAUGGUGUGGGGUGUGUUUUCAUGGCACACAUUGGACCCCUUGAUAAAUGUGGAGCAACGUUUAAAUGUCACAGGAUAUCUGAACAUCAUUGCCAGUCAGGUACAUCCCUUCAUGGCAGCAUUGUAUCCAUCUGCAAGUUGAUUUUUUUCAGCCCCAUGCCACAAGGCUAGGAUUGUCAAGGAAUGGUUCCACAAACAUGACAGUGAAUUCAGCUCACUGCAGUGGCCUGCCCAGUCGCCAGAUGUCAAUCCAACUGAGCAUCUGUGGGAUGAGAUGGAACGAGCUAUUCAGAGUAGAGAUCCAAACCCGCCAACUUAACACAACUAUGGGAAGCACUGGAGAUAACAUGGGCCAGCAUCCCUGUGGUGGGGAAAAAAGUGGAUGCAAAUCAAUAUUGGGAAGGUAUCCCUAAUGUUUUGUGCACUCAGUGUAUGUUUUAGUUCAUUUAUUGAUUUUUAAAACCAGAUAUUUUUUAUUUAACUAGGCAAGUCAGUUAAGAACAAAUUCUUAUUUACAAUGAUGGCCUACCCCGGCCAAACCCGGUGUAACAAGUGCGCUGAGAGUCGGGAAGCAAGUUUAGGGAGUGAGUGUUUUACUAAAUAAAAGAAAAAAUGAACACGAAACACAAACAAUGCACCGACAUGAAAACAGAGUCAAUAACACCUGAGGAAAGAACCAAGGGGAGUGACAGAUAUAGGGAAGAUAAUCACGGAGGUGAUGGAGUCCAGGUGAGGGUCAUGAGGCGCUGAUGCACGUGAUAAUGGUGACAGGUGUGUGGGAUAAUCAGAUAAUCUGUUCUGUUGUUCUAUUGGACUCUAGAUCCUGUUCUGUUGUUCUAUUGGACACUAGAUCCUGUUCUGCAGUUCUAUUGGACACUAGAUGCUGUUCUGUUGUUCUAUUGGAGAGUAGAAUCAGUUGUGUAUAAAUGUUUUUGAACUAAAAACGGUUUGUGACUUGCUUGUGAAUGUGUAUGUAUAGCUAUUUAAUUAAACACUUGCUCAGCUGUGCAAAAGUUCAUCAGUUGAAACAGCCUUCCGUAUUUGCAUGAUAUUUACUGUUACAGCUCUGCCUCAGAGAUUGAUGGAAAUAACAAUUAUGAGGAAGUUCAUUAUGUAUAACAGAGACAAGGUGAAAUGCACUAUGUAUACAGAGACAAGGUGAAAUUCACUAUUUAUAGAGACAAGGUGAAAUUCACUAUUUAUAGAGACAAGGUGAAAUUCACUAUUUAUAGAGACAAGGUGAAAUUCACUAUUUAUAGAGACAAGGUAAAAUUCACAAUGUAUAACAGAGACAAGGUGAAAUUCCCUAUGUAUAGAGACCAGGUGAAAUUCAGUAUUUAUAUAGACAAGGUGAAAUUCACUAUGUUUAACAGAGAC
rnacentral:lncRNA from 1 species